AGAACCUGAGAAAUUAAAUAGCAGUCUUGAACACUCCACCACAGGUCGGUCGGAUCUGUUCUUGAAUUCUUCAAUCAGGCAGGAAAAUAAAAGCGAAGGAAUAAAAUAAAAAAAACUAGAUUCUAACGUAAGGUUAGAUCCGGUAAAAGAUACACAAUAGUUUCUGGUGUAGAAACUAUUGUGCGAAAAAUUAAUUAAGUGCUAGAAAAGAAAAUAGAAUUGCAAAAGAAAACAAUACAAAAAUUGUAAAAGAAGUACUGUAAAGAAUAUGCUUAAGCUGC
rnacentral:lncRNA from 1 species